GCCAGUGACGGUGGGACGAGCAGGCGCCGAGGAGGUGGCGUGGCCCAGACGGGCCGGGUACGGAAGCGCGCAGGAACCUGCGAGUUGCGGGCAGCCGGCCUCGGCCUCGGCUGGGCGGGGGUUCCAACCUCGGCGGCUCCAGGGCAGCCGUCACCCGCCUUCUGGGUGUGUUGCACGGCCCACCCCUCAGCCCGUCUCGGUCCUUCCCAGUGCCGUGCCUUUAGCCACCUUUGUGCUUUCUGCUUGCACCCACACGGGGCUGUAUCUGGCAGCCGCUGCUUCUGCCAUCGAUUUAUUUUUCGAAGAAUAUCUUUGUUUUAUUGAUUUACUUAUACCCCUCGCCUUAGGACUUCGUUCCCCCUCUUUGCCCGUCAGCGGUAUCAGUUGAGGCCUGUUGUGGCUCUGAGUAUUUUGUGUCCCCAGCCCGUUGACCUUGAGACUUGUAACAGGUUUCCCUUGGGAAUUGCAUUCGGGUGUGUUUAUCGCGGACACCCUGGUGCAACUUUUACUAAAGCCGUCCGCUCCCACUCCCACCUCCCAAACUUUUAUGAUCUGAGUAAGCGGUUCUGGCACUGAUGUCCUGAUAACGUUCUAAUGGCGCAUUAAUUUUGGCUGAUGCCAGGGUCUUGAUAGAAUUCACCGUUUUUGGUUUCCGACCCAGAAGUACAGGAGUUCAGUGUACAAUAUUGUUUUUAUAGAGACAGAAUGAUAGGGAAAUGUUAUUAGAACGUAGUUUGUGUAAAGUGGUGGGGUUGCACAGUGUCAACACUGAGGCAUUUGGUAUUCUGUUCUCCUUUAACCGAACGGGUUGUCUCUUUUGGUAAUUUGGAUUGUUGUAACCUUACCCUCAUCCGGUCUCUCAGGAGAAGAAAAAAAAUAUCGGCCAGAGGAGAGGAACUAACCGAACAUUCUUCCUCCCUACCUUAUAGAGGGGAGUGGUCAUCUACACUAAAGCAAAGUGUUAGGCGCGUCCGUGCGAAGAGACCACCAAACAGGCUUUGUGUUCCUUAUCACAGGAAGAAAAUUUUCCUUGACCUUUAGGUGCUUUUAUAUUCAUCUCAAAAACAAAAUUCUGAACUCAGGACUUGGCAAGUGUCUCUAUGUUGUCUCCUAGAGUGGGUAGUCCUGCUUCUUUUACCCAGUUACUUUCCCGUUUUUGAAAUGUGGCUAUCACUUCUCUACACAUUACCUCCAUGAUUUGGAAUGGAAAAGGCCACUUUUCUUUUUGUUCUGCCUCUCAAAUUCAACACAGAGGAGCUCCUAGGAUUCCAGUUAUCCUGCUAACAUCUCCAGGAAGAAAGAAGCAACUCACAUGGGUCUUUUGCUGUUUGCUUAAUUAUAAAGACAUCAUUUUGCAAGCAGAAGGCUGAGUUUCAUUUGAAACAGGUGCUUAGGUGGUGGUAUUUGUGAAUACUUUUCAUUCCAAGCAAGAAGACUAAAGAAGUAGCAAGUAUGAAUGACUUCAGGGUUUAAAAAAAAUGUCUUCCAGUUUCAGCCACUACCAUGAUAAGCACAGUUGAGACUGCAGCAGUAAAUUCCAAAUAUGUGUUUCUAAUUUGACGUGAAAGAUACUAAAAAUUUAUAUUUGUAUAUUUAAAUCCUGGCUCAUCCUGUGACAUAGAUUUACUGAAUAGGAACAAAGGCCCAAUUUUAAACAAAAACCUAGGCCGGGUGUGGUGGCUCACACCUGUAAUCCCAACACUUUGGGAGGCCAAGGCAGGCAAAUCACCUGAGGUUGGGAGUUUGAGACCAGCCUGACCAACAUGGAGAAACCCCAUCUCUACUAAAAAUAGAAAAUUAGCCAGGUGUGGUGGUAGAUACGUGUAAUCCCAGCUACUCGUGAGGCUGAGGCAGGAGAAUUGCUUGAAUCCGGGAGGCGGAGGUUGCAGUGAACUGAGAUUGCACCACUGCACUCCAGCCUGGGCGACAGAGUGAGACUCCGUCUCAGAAAAAUAAAAAACAACUUUGGACAUAGAGGAGUUGGGGGCAGAGGGGGGAGGAUGAGAGAAUUUUCCAUGUAACUCCUUUUCCUUAAGAAAAAGAAGCAAAAAUCCCUCAUGCAGUGCCAUCUGACUUUAUGGUGUUUCACAUUAUAUAGUUACUUUUUUUAAUAAACGCAUAAGAUUAACUCUUCCUGCAACCCAAGGUGGAUACUUGGAUGUUUGAUUUUUAUUUAUUUAUUUAUUUAUUUUUUGAGGCAGUCUCUCUCUGUUGCCCAGGCUGGAGUGAUGCGUGAUUUCUGCUCACUGCAGUCUCUCCCACCCGGGUUCAAGCGAUUCUCCUGCCUCAGCCUCCCAAGUAGCUAGGAUUACAGGCGCGCACCACCACGCUCAGCCUGAUUUCUAGGCUGAAAAGGCUGGGACUCAGGUACUUUCCCCAGUUGGGACUGAACUUUCUCAUCAGAGAAUGGGCCUCAGAAGCAAUGUUCCCAAACUUGUGGUUGGGUCAUCGUGGAAAAGAAACCUCAAAUAAGAAAAAUAAUUACAAUAAGAAAUGGAUUUUCUUUUUUCCCACAACAGUUAUACAUUAUAAAGAACAGACUGUCGUAGAAAACUGUCUUUGCUUCCAAAUCAGCAGAGGACCAUUGUAUGUAUUGUCAGGUCUUUAUAUAAGAGUGAAACCUUUAUUUAUGCUUCUUGUGAGUAGAGAAUAAAUUUUAAAACUAAUUAGAUGAAAUU
rnacentral:lncRNA from 1 species